rnacentral:rRNA from 1 species
UGCUAGCGUUGCUCGGAAUCACUGGGCGUAAAGGGUGCGUAGGCGGGUUUUUAAGGCAGGGGUGAAAUCCUGGAGCUCAACUCCAGAACUGCCUUUGAUACUGAAGAUCUUGAGUCCGGGAGAGGUGAGUGGAACUGCGAGUGUAGAGGUGAAAUUCGUAGAUAUUCGCAAGAACACCAGUGGCGAAGGCGGCUCACUGGCCCGGUACUGACGCUGAGGCACGAAAGCGUGGGGAGCAAACAGG